AGUGAACGCUGGCGGUAGGCCUAACACAUGCAAGUCGAACGGCAGCACAGUAAGAGCUUGCUCUUACGGGUGGCGAGUGGCGGACGGGUGAGGAAUACAUCGGAAUCUACUUUUUCGUGGGGGAUAACGUAGGGAAACUUACGCUAAUACCGCAUACGACCUACGGGUGAAAGCAGGGGAUCUUCGGACCUUGCGCGAUUGAAUGAGCCGAUGUCGGAUUAGCUAGUUGGCGGGGUAAAGGCCCACCAAGGCGACGAUCCGUAGCUGGUCUGAGAGGAUGGACAGCCACACUGGAACUGAGACACGGUCCAGACUCCUACGGGAGGAAGCAGUGGGGAAUAUUGGACAAUGGGCGCAAGCCUGAUCCAGCCAUACCGCGUGGGUGAAGAAGGCCUUCGGGUUGUAAAGCCCUUUUGUUGGGAAAGAAAAGCAGCAGGUUAAUACCCCGCUGUUCUGACGGUACCCAAAGAAUAAGCACCGGCUAACUUCGUG
rnacentral:rRNA from 1 species